rfam:Colinus virginianus strain Texas jcf7180006226573, whole genome shotgun sequence.
GUACUUGCUUCGUCAGCACAUAUACUAAAAUUGGAAUGAUACAGAGAAGAUUAGCAUGGCUCCUGCGCAAGGAUGACAUGCAAACUUGUAAAGAGUUUCAUAUUUUU